rnacentral:antisense_RNA from 1 species
GCAAGACUCCAAACUUGCCCGCAGCGACCUAACUGCACCUCCAGUGGCUACCCCCAGAGGGCACGGAAGCAGCAAGAACGGCGGGAACACUUGCCUGGCGUCCAUGCAGCUCUAGGCUGAGUCUUGUAGGGCUAAGGCCCCCAGGCCUGCUCUCCUGUGUCCUAGCCGCUCUGUCAGUGCCUGCCAGUGGGGUCCAGAGGGACCGUCUCUUUAACGCCUCUUUUGCAGUGAGAUGUGCCUACUUCUCCCUGGAGACGCUCGAGGAAGCAGGAAUGCUGGAGAUGAGCUGCUCCUCACUCUCACUCCUGGGUGUGCUGGGCAGUGGGGUGCAAUGCGCACGUAGGUGCACACUGUCCCUGGGCGGCAACGAGCAGCAGAGGUCUGAUCUGUGGUCGGGUGAGGAGAGGAAGUCCAAGUAAAGCAGCUGCAGCGAGGCCUCGUCUGCUCAGGGGCUUGUUCUUCUGUCUCUUUCAGAGGCCUCGUCUGCUCAGGGGCUUGUUCUUCUGUCUCUUUGCAGGGCUGUUUUGGACUCAGUAUUCACCUAAGCACUCCAAAUUACCCAGCACACCCUUCCUGCACGGCGCUGUGCUGCACCUUCACUCUGGUCACGGGUCUGGCAGUCGGCUCACCAAUUCCUUCUGCUUUCCUGGGACUCGCCGGCUUUUAGCACUGCAAUUCACUCAGCAAACUGGGACUGUUGGUCACCCUACCUGGCAGCCAGUGAUAAGGUGAGGGCCACUCCUGGGAGGGAGGACACCUGUGGGGAAAAUUCUUGUGUUAUUUAUUUCUCCUUCGGGAUAGGGUGCCUGCAGCGCUUCAUGGGAGGGGGUGG